rnacentral:rRNA from 1 species
GGACCUGACUGCUAUCGGAACGGGACUAAGCCAUGCGAGUCCUGCCAGUUUAAGCACGUGAACUGGCGGCAAACGGCUCAGUAACACGUAGUCAACCUGCCCUUAGGACGAGAACAAUCUCGGGAAACUGAGGCUAAUUCUCGAUAGGUCAAGAUUCCUGGAAUGGGUUUUGGCUCAAAAGAAGUGACAGCAUCUUGUUAAUUCGCCCGAGGAUGGGACUGCGGCCGAUCAGGCUGUUGGUGAGGUAAAGGCUCACCAAACCUGUAACCGGUACGGGCUUUGAGAGAAGGAGCCCGGAGAUGGACACUGAGACAAGGGUCCAGGUCCUACGGGGCGCAGCAGGCGCGAAACCUUCGCAAUGUGCGAAAGCACGACAAGGUUAUUCCGAGUGAUUUCCGCUGAGGAAAUCUUUUCUCAGAUCUAAAAAGUCUGGGGAAUAAGGGGAGGGCAAGUCUGGUGU